GACAGAGGUGGCGAGCGUUGUUCGGAAUCAUUGGGCUUAAAGCGUGUGCAGGCGGCGGCGUAAGUGUCGAGUGAAAGCCUGCGGCUCAACCGCAGAACGGCUCGGCAUACUGCGUCGCUUGAGGUCGGUAGAGGUGCUUGGAACUCUAGGUGGAGCGGUGAAAUGCGUAGAUAUCUAGAGGAACGCCUGAGGCGAAAGCGGAGCACUGGGCCGAUCCUGACGCUGAGACACGAAAGCGUGGGGAGCAAACAGG
rnacentral:rRNA from 1 species